rnacentral:rRNA from 1 species
UGUGGAAUAUUGCACAAUGGGCGCAAGCCUGAUGCAGCGACGCCGCGUGCGGGAUGGAGGCCUUCGGGUUGUAAACCGCUUUGUUCAAGGGCAAGGCACGGUCUUGGCCGUGUUGAGUGGAUUGUUCGAAUAAGCACCGG